rnacentral:rRNA from 1 species
CAGGACGAACGCUGGCGGCGUGCUUAACACAUGCAAGUCGAACGCUGAAGCACCAGCUUGCUGGUGUGGGUGAGUGGCGAACGGGUGAGUAAUACGUGAGUAACCUGCCCUUGACUCUGGGAUAAGCCCGGGAAACUGGGUCUAAUACUGGAUGCUACAUGUCACCGCAUGGUGGUGUGUGGAAAGGGUUUACUGGUCUUGGAUGGGCUCACGGCCUAUCAGCUUGUUGGUGAGGUAAUGGCUCACCAAGGCGACGACGGGUAGCCGGCCUGAGAGGGUGACCGGCCACACUGGGACCGAGACACGGCCCAGACUCCUACGG